AUAUGACUAUUGAUCAUACGCAUGCGCGAAAAAGCGGCCCUAAUAGCAACACUGCACUCAGCACGCACGGACCACGUGGUCGCGCACAACGCAUGCGCGGCACGUGCGCUCGAUUCUAACCUCGCUAAGUUUGCGCUAUCUUUUUUGUCGCGUUGCGUUUCGUGUCGCGCGUAUUUCGGCUGAUUUUCACGCGAUCUCGUGACAAUCCCGCGCGUGUAAUUCGUACGAUCGGUUGUUUGGUCGAUCGAUCGAUCGAACGAACGAACGGACGGACGAGCGAAGCGGUCGGACGAGGAAGGGGAAUACUACUCGCGAGCAGAGGUGCGGGGACAGGAAACGGGUAGCCACCGAGCCUUCUCCUCGUUGCAGCUCCAUUAAGAAACGAUCGACGCACGCGGUCGCAUGUCGGCGCGCGUGUAACGUGCGUAUCCGCCGCGAUCCGUCCGUGCGGUUCGUGUGUUCGCGACGUCGUACUCCGUGCGUGCGACGUCGACUUCAUCGUCGUGGUCCAGCGUGAUCGCCGAAUCGACAGCGCGACCGUGAAUCGGCCAGUACGCGAGACGGAGAAAGAAAGAAAGAGAGAGAGAGAGAGAGAGAGAGAGAGAGAGAGAAGCGAAGAGCGACGGAGAGAAAACGAGAGAGAAGAUACAUUGCGCGACACCGUAGCGGCGGAUCUGAGCUCACGAGCAGAUGAGUGAGCAAUCCUCUGUCUCGAUCAUGAAUAAAGACGACUACGAGAGCCUACCGACCAACUCCGUGGCCGUGCACAUGAUGGCCGGCGCCGUGGCCGGGAUCAUGGAGCAUUGCAUCAUGUAUCCAUUUGACAGUGUUAAGACAAGAAUGCAGGCAUUGACUCCCGGUCCAGGAGGAGGAGGAGGAGUAGGAGAAGUAUUGUAUAAAAUGAUACGACAAGAAGGUGUAUUAAGGCCAAUUAGGGGCGUUGGCGCAGUGGUUGCCGGAGCUGGUCCUGCACAUGCUUUAUAUUUUUCUUGCUACGAAUGUCUGAAAGAGAAAUUCAAAAGUUCAAGAUCCCAGUUUAAUCAUCUUGUCUAUGGGGCAGCUGGUUGUGUGGCAACAAUCCUACACGAUGGUGUCAUGAACCCAGCGGAAGUGGUGAAACAACGAUUGCAGAUGUACAAUUCCCCUUAUAGGAAUGUAUUGAAUUGUAUACAGCAUGUAUACCAGAAAGAAGGAAUAUUUGCAUUCUACAGAAGCUAUACAACUCAAUUGGCUAUGAAUGUGCCUUUUCAGAGUAUUCAUUUUAUCUCGUAUGAAUUCGUACAAUCUAUUACAAAUCCAGAGCAUGUUUACAAUCCAAUAGCACAUAUCGGAUCUGGUGCAACAGCAGGUGCGAUCGCGGCUGCAGCGACGACUCCUCUGGAUGUCUGCAAGACAGUGCUGAAUACGCAACAGGAUGGCGUGCACGCUCAAGGCAUGAUAGAUGCAUUUAAGCAAGUCUACAGGUUCGGUGGGAUACAGGGGUACUUUCGCGGAUUACGCGCCCGCGUCUUGUUCCAAGCACCAGCUACCGCGAUUUGUUGGGUGAUAUACGAGUCGUUCAAAUAUGUAUUACGGGGCAAGCAAGAUGAUGAAUACAGUGACUCUGAAAUUGACAACAGUAUAACUGGAAUUAAUCAGAAUCCGACGCUCGUACCAAGAUCCAACAGCUUUCAGGGUGCAGGUACAACGGAAGCCCUUACCACCUUGGAGGCCACCUAGAUCUGAUGGUUCUAUCAAUAUAGAUAUCAUGAAGCCGGUUGAGCCCCAUGUAAGAGCUAUACUUUAUGAGAAAGGAAUCCCAACUUUUAUUGCUACUAAUAAUUAUCUUACUGAAAGAUAUAAAGAACCACCGGAGAAGCGUUUCUAUUUCCCUGAUAGUACAAAUUGGAUAUAUGGUUGGCGCCUUGAUGAUUAUCAUCCUGUUCCACUUAGCAAAGUAGGCCUGAAGUCUGUUAUGUUAGCACAAUUUUACCAGCGUAAGACAUUUAAUCUGAAGCGAGAUCCAGAAUGGUAUCGUGGUUGUCAAAUGAAGAAUGCAAGAAAUUUCAAUCAAUCAUUGACAUACUAAUUAGUAAUUAAUAUAUUUCCAUACUAUAAUGUUACAGUGAUUACACAACACAUAUACUGAUAUUAUAAUAUUAUAUUUUCUGUAAAUAGUUUGCUUUUAUGUUACAUAUUUUUAUGAUAUUACAAUUUUUAUAAAAAAUAUAUUUUUGUCUUCUUCAUCGAUUCGGUGUAUUCUUCAUAAAAGCAUAAGCAUUAUUAAAUUUCUUUAUUUUGAUAA
rnacentral:misc_RNA from 1 species